rnacentral:rRNA from 1 species
GUAACAAGGUUUCCGUAGGUGAACCUGCGGAAGGAUCAUUACCUAGAGUUUGUGGGCUUUGCCUGCUAUCUCUUACCCAUGUCUUUUGAGUACUUACGUUUCCUCGGUGGGUUCGCCCGCCGAUUGGACAAUUUAAACCCUUUGCAGUUGCAAUCAGCGUCUGAAAAACAUAAUAGUUACAACUUUCAACAACGGAUCUCUUGGUUCUGGCAUCGAUGAAGAACGCAGCGAAAUGCGAUAAGUAGUGUGAAUUGCAGAAUUCAGUGAAUCAUCGAAUCUUUGAACGCACAUUGCGCCCCUUGGUAUUCCAUGGGGCAUGCCUGUUCGAGCGUCAUUUGUACCUUCAAGCAUUGCUUGGUGUUGGGUGUUUGUCUCGCCUUUGCGUGUAGACUCGCCUUAAAACAAUUGGCAGCCGGCGUAUUGAUUUCGGAGCGCAGUACAUCUCGCGCUUUGCACUCAUAACGACGACGUCCAAAAGUACAUUUUAACACUCUUGACCUCGGAUCAGGUAGGGAUACCCGCUGAACUUAAGCAUAUCAAUAAGCGGAGGAAAAGAAACCAACAGGGAUUGCCCUAGUAACGGCGAGUGAAGCGGCAACAGCUCAAAUUUGAAAUCUGGCGUCUUUGGCGUCCGAGUUGUAAUUUGCAGAGGGCGCUUUGGCAUUGGCAGCGGUCCAAGUUCCUUGGAACAGGACGUCACAGAGGGUGAGAAUCCCGUACGUGGUCGCUAGCCUUUACCGUGUAAAGCCCCUUCGACGAGUCGAGUUGUUUGGGAAUGCAGCUCUAAAUGGGAGGUAAAUUUCUUCUAAAGCUAAAUACUGGCCAGAGACCGAUAGCGCACAAGUAGAGUGAUCGAAAGAUGAAAAGCACUUUGGAAAGAGAGUUAAAAAGCACGUGAAAUUGUUGAAAGGGAAGCGCUUGCAGCCAGACUUGCCUGUAGUUGCUCAUCCGGGUUUUUACCCGGUGCACUCUUCUAUAGGCAGGCCAGCAUCAGUUUGGGCGGUUGGAUAAAGGUCUCUGUCAUGUACCUCUCUUCGGGGAGAACUUAUAGGGGAGACGACAUGCAACCAGCCUGGACUGAGGUCCGCGCAUCUGCUAGGAUGCUGGCGUAAUGGCUGUAAGCGGCCCGUCUUGAAACACGGACCAAGGAGUCUAACAUCUAUGCGAGUGUUUGGGUGUCAAGCCCGAACGCGUAAUGAAAGUGAACGGAGGUGGGAACCUUUCGGGGUGCACCAUCGACCGAUCCUGAUGUCUUCGGAUGGAUUUGAGUAAGAGCAUAGCUGUUGGGACCCGAAAGAUGGUGAACUAUGCUUGAAUAGGGUGAAGCCAGAGGAAACUCUGGUGGAGGCUCGCAGCGGUUCUGACGUGCAAAUCGAUCGUCAAAUUUGGGCAUAGGGGCGAAAGACUAAUCGAACUAUCUAGUAGCUGGU